CGGCUGACGGUGGCCGACAGUCUGGAGCCGGUCUCCUUCGCCGACGGCGAGACGGUCGUCAAGCAGGGCGAGCCGGGCGACGACUUCUUCAUCAUCCUGGAGGGCAAGGCGGCCGUGCUGCAGCAACGCUCCGAGGGCGAGGAGCCGGUGGAGGUCGGCCAGCUCAGCCCCAGCGACUACUUCGGCGAGAUCGCCUGAUGCUGGACCGGCCCCGGGCGGCCACCGUGGUGGCGCGCGGCCCUCUCAAGUGCGUCAAGCUGGACCGGGGCAGGUUCGAGCGCGUGCUGGGGCCCUGCGCCGACAUCUUGAAGCGAAACAUCACACAAUACAACAGCUUCGUCUCCCUGACCGUGUAGUCCGGGGCGAAGCCGGCCGCUGGAGGAGGCGGGGA